rnacentral:rRNA from 1 species
UACGUAGGGUGCGAGCGUUGUCCGGAAUUAUUGGGCGUAAAGAGCUCGUAGGCGGUCUGUUGCGUCGGCUGUGAAAACCCGGGGCUCAACUCCGGGCCUGCAGCCGAUACGGGCAGACUAGAGUUCGGCAGGGGAGACUGGAAUUCCUGGUGUAGCAGUGAAAUGCGCAGAUAUCAGGAGGAACACCGGUGGCGAAGGCGGGUCUCUGGGCCGAUACUGACGCUGAGGAGCGAAAGCGUGGGGAGCGAACAGG